AGCAGCCGCGGUAAUUCCAGCUCCAAUAGCGUAUAUUAAAGUUGUUGCAGUUAAAAAGCUCGUAGUUGAAUUUCGGGAUCAGUACGCUGGUCGUGCCUUGGUAUGUACUGGUGUUACUGGUUCCUACCUUCUGACGAACCGUCAUGUCGUUAAUUUGGUGUGGCGGGGAAUCAGGACUGUUACUUUGAAAAAUUAGAGUGUUUAAAGCAGGCUCGCGCUUGAAUACAUUAGCAUGGAAUAAUGAAAUAGGACGUUUGAUCCUAUUUUGUUGGUUUCUAGGAUUGACGUAAUGAUUAAUAGGGAUAGUUGGGGGCAUUAGUAUUCAAUUGUCAGAGGUGAAAUUCUUGGAUUUAUUGAAGACUAACUACUGCGAAAGCAUUUGCCAAGGAUGUUUUCAUUAAUCAAGAACGAAAGUUAGGGGAUCGAAGACGAUCAGAUACCGUGUAGUCU
rnacentral:rRNA from 1 species